rnacentral:rRNA from 1 species
CCUACGGGAGGCAGCAGUGGGGGAUAUUGCACAAUGGGGGGAACCCUGAUGCAGCGACGCCGCGUGGGUGAAGGAGCGUUUCGGCGCGUAAAGCCCUAUCGGCAGGGAAGAAGAUGACGGUACCUGACCAAGAAGCCCCGGCCAACGACGGGCCAGCAGCCGCGGCAAUACGCAGGGGGCAAGCGUUAUCCGGAUUUGCUGGGGGUAAAGGGGGUGCAGACGGCAAUGCAAGUCUGGAGUGAAAGCCCGGGGCCCAACCCCGGGUCUGCUCUUGAAACUGCAUGGCUUGAGUACGGGAGGGGCAGGCGGAAUUCCUGGUGUAGCGGUGAAAUGCGUAGAUAUUAGGAGGAACACCGGUGGCGAAGGCAGCCUGCUGGACUGUGACUGACGUUGAGGCCCGAAGGCGUGGGGAGCGAACAGGAUUAGAUACCCCAGUAGUC